UCCACGCCCCGCCGAGCCGAGCCGAGGGAGGCCGGCCUGAGCAACCCGCGGGCGGCGGGGAGGCGGCCCCAGCCCCAUCCCCGGCCCCAUGGAGUGCUACUACAUUGUCAUCAGCUCCGCGCAUCUCAGCAACGGGCACUUUCGGAACAUCAAGGGAGUUUUCCGAGGCCCCCUCAGCAAGAACGGGAACAAAACUCUGGGUCAAAUCCUUGGCCAUGUACAUGGAGCAUCAAGAGACACAGAAAUCAGAGGAUUAUGCUGAAAAGAAAAACACGAUAGCAAAAGCUCUGGAAGAUCUUAAAGCGAACUUCUACUGUGAACUCUGUGACAAGCAGUACUAUAAACACCAGGAGUUUGACAAUCACAUUAACUCUUAUGAUCAUGCUCACAAACAGAGACUGAAGGAGCUGAAACAGAGGGAGUUUGCUCGAAACGUAGCAUCUAAGUCACGGAAAGAUGAAAGGAAACAGGAGAAAGCCCUUCAACGUUUGCAUAAGCUAGCUGAGCUAAGGAAAGAGAGAACGUGUGCUCCUGGAAGCGGCCCUAUGUUCAAAUCUACUACAGUGACUGUGCGAGAUCAUUGCAGUGAUAUCCCCCAAAGUGCUGCCAUAGAUUCUUCCAACAAUCAGGAUUUAAUGCAUGAUGCACAGAAUGGUGAAGAUGUUGCUUCUGUUACUUCUUCCACUCCUGGAAAUGCAUGUAGUAAUAAAUCCGACACUGGCAAAUGCGGGGAUCAGGUUCAAGGAGCUCAAGGACAUAGAGUUGGUUUCUCUUUUGCUUUUCCCAAGAAAGCAGUGGUCAAACUGGAGUCUUCAGCUGCUGUUUUCUAUGAAUAUAACGACGAGACAUCUAUAGAGCAUGGAUUUAGCAGAAGAAGUAGGUUUGUUCCAGGAGCAUGUAACAUUCAGUCUCCUUCAGUGGCAGAAAUAGUCCUGUGCCCUGAGGAGAAGCAUAACUGUUUUCACCCACUGGUGGAAAAAUGCAUAGGCACGGCAGAAGCUCCUAAAGCUCAGGAGUCAGAAAAGCUGGCUGGUGAAGAAAGCAGCGUGCUGGAGUCUCCUGUCUUAACUCCUGCUGCAUCCCAUUCAAAGCAGCUGGUGCCCUUGGACAUGGGUGGCUAUGGCAUUGAUGUGAGUGCAGCAGAUGUAGCAGACCAGACGCUGCCCAUGGCUGUGGACAGUGCUCAGGUCCUGCCCCUGGACUGCAGCGGGUGUGAGCCACAGGCAAACAGGGCUCUGGCACAGGUGGUUGUGGAGGACUGUUUAUCUCUGCAGGAUGUUGCUGAGGAAGAUGAUACAGACAGGGACAAUGAGCCACCCAUGACUGAAACUGAAAUAAAAAGGCUGGGGGCAGAUGCAUCAGUUCCAUCAGCGUCUGAAGAAGGUAGUGGUGGACCCCUACAAAGCAAACCGGACAUGAGCAAGAGACCUUGUGAACCCUUUGUUCCCGUUCUUAGCAAACACGGAUCAAAUAUUCUUCAGUGGCCAUCAGAAAUGUUAAUUUACACAAGUACAGACCCAUCAAUUUCUUAUAGCUGCAAUCCUUUAUAUUUUGAUUUCAAGUCAUCAAGAGCAACUGACAGCCAAGAAAAGCCCAAGCGUCAGCCAGACAUACCUCAUUUGCACCAUAAAAGUGAAUACAACCAUAGCUUAGUCUUGGAUUUUACAAAUAAACCUACUUCAGAGUGUGGUGAUUAUGAAACAGAAAUGAAUAAAGAUGUGUGUGACUAUACAAUACCCCUUGUAAGUGAUGAUUCCCUCGUCAGAAAUUGUGAUCUUGCAAAAAAUCAAAAUAAAGUGUCCUUGGAUGAAUCAUUCAGGAUUAGAAAAAUAGAAAAGUAUCACAUUUCUAAAAAUCACUUACAACAAAACACUGUGAUAGAUGAGAAAUGUAACAAAGUCUGGAUCAAAGAAAGCCAUGAAAAAUGGCUUCACAAAAGUAGAAAAUGGAAAAGGAGAAGAAAAUUAUAUCAUUGUCAUCAUCAUCAGUGUGGGGACACAACAGCAGCAGAAAUGGAGAUGUCCUCAGUGAGUGAAAAAGAAAUCAGGUACCGAGAUGAAAAUAAAUAUCAGCACCUCCAAAAUAAUCCAGAGAAGUGCAGAUAUGAUGUGGGGAAUAUCCGGCUAGCUGCAGGUGAGCUACAGCAGUCACAUCAAAAACUUGGCAUUGAAAAUGGUCAUAAGAGAGUCAUGUCUGAAUCACAUCAUGUACAUGGGGACAGAGGCUGUUGUGAUGUUUGGGAUGCAACCAGUGGCCAGCACCAUGGUUGUCAGCGAUGGCACAGAAGGAGCAAAGCAAGUUCUCGGGCACAGGCAGAGCAGCUGGCUCUGAGUUCCAGGAGGCACAGCCUCAGGUAUGCUAAAACAUGUUGUAGCUGGAAAGUCAGGAGGUCAAGCUGUAGCCCAGAGCAUAAAUGUUUCGGACACUGCAGUAUGGGCAAGAGUCUGAGUCAAAACCAGUCUGUAAAGAGAGGUUACAGUGUUCUGACAGAAGAAACUGAGAAAUCUCACCGCAAGCGGAGACAGCAUGUCUGUUCCUCUUCAUCAGAAGAAAGCUCAUAUGGACAAACAUUAUCAGCAGAGGAAUAUCUAAGGCAAGCACGAACUAUAGGUACGCAUCACAAGGCAAAAGGGAAACGGAGGAAAAGAAAAACCAGAAUCCAUCACGUAUUCCUUGACAGGAAUGCAAGGAGUGAGAACUCCAGACCUUCCAAAGAAAGUUCUGCAAAUUCUACCUUAAAUGUUUUGGGGGACCUCUUGACUCAAGACGGUUUAGAGGAAGUUAAUGUGGAUCCCAAAGCUGAUCAUGCAAAGGACGUGGAUGAAACGAUGCAACUGGAGGAAAGCAAGUCAUCUCUAGACCCUGAUGGUUCACACGUGAUAGAACACAACGAACCAAGGGUGUGCACAGCGAUGGAGAACACACUGGGUGUAUUUUCUGAUGUUGUCACUGUGCCUGUUCCUGAGCACAGCGCUCCAGCAGCUGCCAGCACACAGGGUGUUCUGGAAGAGGAAAAGAAGAAAGAAAAGGUCAACAGUCAUGAAAAUCAGGCUUAUUACAAACCUCCCCUCCCCAACAGACAUUUGGAACAAGCUCCUCCUAAAUCCUAUCUUUGCCAUUAUGAAUUGUCCAAGUCCCUACCACAUGAGAAAAUAAAUGAGGUGACUGGUGAAUGGGUACAGUGUAAUCCUGGUAUAUUUAGCAGCCCACCACCCUUGCCAUUCAAGGAAGCACAUGUGAACAGUCACACUUUUUUAACUACUGAGCAGUUACUAGCCCCUUUUACCCUGCCUGAUCAGACAUUGAUAUUCCCUCCAGAUAAAUUCAAAGAUCUCCCAUCCGAGGCCUAUCAGCAGAUCAUGCCACAAAACAUGCUGGCCAGCAAAGUGAAGUUCGCCUUCCCUCCCACAGCAAUCCAGCCCCCAAAUUCCCCGCUGCAGCCUGUACCCCUGCAGCCGCCGCUGUGCUCUACCUCCGUCACCACCAUCCACCACACUGUCCUACAGCAGCAUGCCGCUGCUGCACUGAAGGUUCUCCAGCCCCACCAGCAGUUCCUCUCACAGGUCCCAGCUCUUACCCGGGCGCCUUUACCUCAUGUGCCAGGAGGACCAAGGCUUUGCCCCGGGGCUCACACAGCUUUUGUCACCACGCCGCACUUGCCACUGCUGCCACCGUCGGUCCUGCCACCAAGUCCACCGGCAUUCCCACCGCUGCCGCACGCUGUCUUCCCAUCCCUGCUGUCCCCACACCCUGCUGUCAUCCCCCUGCAGCCCCUCUUUUAGGAUGGGUUCUUGGGGCUGGGGGAAGGAGCCCUCAGCUAAGUGGUCCUGCUGCUUCUACCACCCCCCUUGGCUUUGCAGAACGGUUCUGUGAAAUGAACUGGUUAAAAUUCCUCGUUCCUUGGGAAGCAUUUACUGUAAGUACAAUGAUGCAAACAUUCGUGUUGAGUUCAGACCUAUACUAUAACAAAAGCACUGAAUAGUCUGAUGCUAAUAUGAACUCUAUAUAUAGGUGAAAAUCAUGUCUUAGAAUAUGUACAAUGUAUAUAAAAUAUAUUUAUAGUUCUAUAACUUAUGUUGUAAAGUAUUCACUUUUUCGUUUUUAUCUUUGUGUAUUUGCACCUAUUUAAUGUUUAGACAAAGCCGAUGCACUAUGUUUUGUACUAUGUUCUCUGAAACUGUAAAUCUAGUGACAAACUAUCUCUUGCAAUAAAUUUUUGUUAACUACUUAAGUAUUUAAAAAAAUCUUUCAUUAGAAGACUCAUGGAUGUUGUUCUUCCAUGUUUUUCUGCAGCUGAAUAGCAUCCUCUGCCCCUGCUCUGUUUGGAUAAUCAGGUUUCCUAUAUGUCGGUGAUUUAUCAGGAGGCUCAGAGGCUAAUACCUUGAGGUAUUGUCUCACUGAGCAAAAGAGGAAGGUUAAUAGAUGUGUUUGUGUUAGCAGCUUGAUGUCACCAUGACAGAAUGUGCCUACUUAUAGUAUGUGCACAAACUGCUCACCGUUGGAGCUAAUCCCUUUUAUACUAAACCACAAAAUGAUGAUGUAACAAAAAUGACAUCAGUGAUGGGCCUGGGGGGAAUAUCAAUGGCAGUUCAACUUCAAGGGAAUAUUGCUAACACUGGAGUGGUAGAGCACAGGAAAGGUCUUGGUUCCACCAAGCAGUCGUGCUCUGACUGCACACAGCCCUCGGUGGGGCAGAUCUGUUGGGGUGAGGUCCUUGCUGCCUGUGCAGUGUGUGACGAUAGCAAGGACGCAUGAGCAUGAAGGGGGUGUCAGGAAGAGACUCACAUGGGGAACCCACCAGGGUUUGAGACAGAUUCUCACCUCACUUUAACCCUCUCUUUCCUGAAGCAGUUUGCUAAAGUAGAAUAACAGAGAAUAGAGAUCAACUAAAAUAAUAAUACAUUGCCAUUACUUCUAAUUCUAUUUCAGAGACUUCUCCCUACCUCUGCAAUCUUUUUAUUGCUGUUGAACCUCACCCAGCUUUAGCCAGUGAAAUCUCCACAUUUGCUUUAGUUUGGGAUGUGUCAGGCCCACACCUGUGAUGGGCUAGAACAAAACCAGAAGACAUUCUGAGACAGAGCUUUCUCUCUGAGUUAAAAUGAAGUGUUACCAUGUGAAUGAAGCUAAGGAUUUGCAGCAUGACCCUUAGUGCUAGAAGUAGGCCCUCUGUAAUGGAAGUUACAAAGGGCUAAAGUAUGCCAAUAAGCAAAAAGCUGAUAAGAAAGAGCAGUUGAGAGAUCAGGGUCUGGAGAGUGACUUGGAUCCCCUGGCUGAGGCUGUGGCAUGGAGUAGGAUGUUGCUGUCCCUGUAAUGCCAUAAAGAAGGUAUAUUUUCUCUAUUUGUAAUUUCAGGUGAAUACCUAUUUCUAUUUAUCUGGUACCUGAAAAACGUAGCAUGUAAGUGACUUUAUACACCUUUAUUUUGCAAGUAUGCCUACAUAAUCUAUAUGUGUCCACUACUGCCUGUGAUAUGCAGGUGUCAAGCAGGCGCUAAACACAGGAACAUCUGAAGUGGGAAGGUUCAUGCCAGCUGCCUUAGCUGACUUCUGCAUGUCUGUUCUCCUGUGUAGUAGCCAGCACAGACUGUCCUUUGGGUUCUGAUGUCUCAACAAAGACAAAAUCCAUCUAAUUAUAUGCGUACACUUGAAAAAAAGAAGCCAUGUAGGAAAAUCAUGAUUGCACAUUAUCAUGCAUUUUUAUCUGGCAGGAGAUAAAAAAUCUCCUGCAGGAGAUGCAUUUUUAUCUGGCAGGAGAUGAAAAAUCACCAAUUUCAAAUUUUCAGUUGCAACAUUCAUUGAAAAAUCUCAUCUUUUAACUUCAGAAGUCUGCAUUUUUUAACAAAAUGUUCCAACAGCUUUGAAUUUUACUUUUUUUCCUUACAAUUUAAAAAAUUCUUUUCUAUUUUAAGUUGUUAAACACUUUGAAGACAUUGCAAAAUUAUUUAUUAUCUACUGUAACUGCUUUAAGUGUAUAAACUACUUAAAAACCUAAUAACCAAGUGUACUAAUUUUCUCAUAUGCUGUUGCCUCGAGCACUAGAGCUGUUUGUGUAUGCGACUUCAUUUGUAAAAGCAAAACCAAUAUAAAAAUAAAUCACAAGUUAAAUUUAAA